rnacentral:rRNA from 1 species
CACGUAGGGGGCGAGCGUUGUCCGGAAUUACUGGGCGUAAAGGGCGCGCAGGCUGUUAUGCGAGUCUGCUGUGAAAUGUACCGGCUCAACCGGUGCCUUGCGGCGGAUACUGCAUAGCUGGAGUACUGGAGAGGGAAGUGGAAUUCCCGGUGUGGCGGUGAAAUGCGUAGAUAUCGGGAGGAACACCGAUGGCGAAGGCAGGUCUCUGGGCAGUAACUGACGCUGAGGAGCGAAAGCAUGGGUAGCGAACAGGAUUA